UACGGAGGGGGCUAGCGUUGUUCGGAAUUACUGGGCGUAAAGCGCACGUAGGCGGCUUCGUAAGUCAGAGGUGAAAGCCCGGGGCUCAACCCCGGAACUGCCUUUGAGACUGCGUCGCUCGAAUCCGGGAGAGGCGGGUGGAAUGUGACGUGUAGAGGUGAAAUUCGUAGAUAUUUGAUAGAACACCAGUGGCGAAGGCGGCCCGCUGGACCGGCAUUGACGCUGAGGUGCGAAAGCGUGGGGAGCAAACAGG
rnacentral:rRNA from 1 species